GACGAACGCUGGCGGCGUGCUUAACACAUGCAAGUCGAACGAAGUGGCGAACGGGUGAGUAAUACGUGCGUAACCUUCCCUCCUUUUUGGGAUAAGCCUUGGAAACGGGGUCUAAUACCGUAUAAAGGGGGAUGGGCUCGCGGCUUUUCGGCUUGUUGGUGGGGGGAUGGCCUACCAAGGCGGUGACGGGUUGCCGGCCUGAGAGGGUGACCGGCAACAUAGGGACGGGGAGACGGCCCAGACGUGUAAGGGGGGGAGAAGUGGCGGAUAUUGCACAAUGGGCGACGGCCUGAUGCAGCGACGCGGAGUGAGGGAUGAAGGCUUUCGGGUUGUAAACCUCUUUCGCUAUCGAAGGGGUAGGUGGAGAAGAAGCGCCGGCUAACUACGUGCCAGCCGCCGCGGUAAUUC
rnacentral:rRNA from 1 species